GUGCUUGCUACAGCUGCACAUAUACUAAAAUAGGAUUGAUACCGAGAAGAUUAGCAUGGCCCUGUGAAAGGAUGACACACAAAUUCAUGAAACGCUCCAUUUUUUU
ensembl:snRNA U6 U6 spliceosomal RNA